AAUGGUCCUUUUCCAACAAUGCAGAGUUAAAGAUAAAAAAAGAAAACAUUUACAUAGUGACACGAGGAAAAAGCAUUUCUGUUAUGUAUUGUGUGAUGAUGUAAAACAUAUUUUCAGAGGCAAUUCUUUCAUAAAAGAGGGUUGAUAAAAUCAAAAGCAUUCAUUAUAUCACUGACCACCUCUCUGACUGUCACCAUUUAGGCCUCAACCAUACCAGCAGCUUCUCCUGUGAAGCACACAACAGUGAAGGUGUGGCUACCUCAGCCUCUGGAACUGUGCCGGUGGUUCCCUCCCAGGCACAGAAAAUCCAAGUUGUAGAGGUCACCAACUCUUCCCUACACAUCUCCUGGGAGCCUGGCUUUGGAGGGGUAUAUCCUGUCUCUGUGUUCUAUACGGGCAGCUCCGUCUGGUCCUUACCGCAACACGUUGCGUAAUCUCCUGAUCCAUAAUCAGAAUGUCUAUGUACCACCUGCUCAACACCUGAUCCCUGAACUGAAGCCCUACACCUUCUAUGACGUGAGGGUGGCUUGCCGUAGUAGUCAGGGUGCUUCCCCGUGGACACCAUGGGUAACACUGCACACAGCUGAAGGAGGAGUCAGAGGUGCUUAGGCAGAGGGAGAGACAGACAGAGGGUUGGAGGGAUAGAGGGAGAGACAGACAGAAGGUUGGAGGGAUAGAGGGAGAGGGAGCGAGACGGGCUACAAGAGUGGAAUACCUCACUGCUAACAUGCCCCAGGUUGCGGACCCUGGAGCCCAGUCCAAUCCCUCAAACAGAAGCACCCUGGUCAGUCUGGACAGAACCGAGGGAGACAACAGGAUGGCUGUGAUGGGUCAAGGAGAAGGGAAAACAGCAGGAGAUUCAAAAUGAAUAUUUGAGGGGCUGUGUUUUCUAGGUUGAUUUAAUCGGUAGCACAUUAUGCUAUAUAUGCAAUUAUACUGAGACAAAGAGAGACAUGCUUUGGGUAUGUACCUAUAGUUCUCCCUGUACAGUGUUGGAAAAAGUACCCAAUUGUCAUACUUGACUAAAAGUAUAGAUACCUUAAUAGAAAAUGACUCAAGUAAAAGUCAUCCAGUAAAAUUCUACUUGAGUAAAAGUCUAAAAU